rnacentral:lncRNA from 1 species
GGAAGGAAGGAAGGAAGGAAGGGAGGGAGGGAGGGAGGGAGGGAGGGAGGGAGGAAGGAAGGAAGGAAGGAAGGAAGGAAGGAAGGAAGGAAGGAAACACAUUAAAAAGAAAUCCUAAGAUAAUGCUCCCUUUCCUUCUUUCCUAUCUAGGUCACUGAGCCACCAUCUCUUGUUAGCACAAAUGCCUAGAAUCAACAGAGGACACAGGACAUUGUAAGAUGCUGUGGAAAGUGUAGGCUGUUCGGAAAACCACCUAGCAGCUCCCAAAAGGUUCAACAACCACAGAAGGAAGAGCCACAUAACCCAGGGACUUGGACCUCCAGCACUCAGAACCCGGCCUAGACCCAAGGCUCUCUGGAUAAGGUCCAGGUAAACUGCCCGGAGGACACUUCUGUUCUCCGGAAGCUUUCGAUGGAGGCCUCAGGAAAAAGCAGACAAGAAAACGCUAGCGGCUGGCAACAAAGGCGAGAUAAUUACCACCUCUAAAGAAUGGGCUACUGAGUCAGAGAGGACUUCUGGUUUCCCAAAAUAGGCCAGAGUCUGUCUGUUCUCUUGGUUUGCCUCUGGUAGGUCAAGAGUCAGGAGUUUAAAAGGCUUCAGGUAAGAAAUGUUCCUUCCAUUUUCCCUGUCCAUCCCCAGGCUCUGUUCCUGGAGACGAACGGUUCCAUUUUGCAAGAAUCCUUUCCAAGAGAUUCUAAUCAGAUCUGAGUGAAGAGCCUGUCUCUGUAUUCUCUUCACUGAAGACAUACCUGCCCCAUGCAUACCCUGUUCGUUGUCGACAGACAUCCAUCUCCAAGGAAUAUAUGUGCACAGCGAAGGAAUUGUGGGCACUGCCUCUUCCAGUUUGACAGCAAGUGUCUUUUACCUUCUCAGCCAACUGAGAACCCAGAAGAGUUGCUUUUCAAAGCUGAGCUCUGACUAAUAAUAAAACUAGAAACAAC